rnacentral:rRNA from 1 species
GACGAACGCUGGCGGCGUGCCUAAUACAUGCAAGUCGAACGAGAGCGACCGGUGCUUGCACUGGUCAAUCUAGUGGCGAACGGGUGAGUAACACGUGGGUAACCUGCCCAUCAGAGGGGGAUAACAUCCGGAAACGGAUGCUAAAACCGCAUAGGUCUUCGAACCGCAUGGUUUGAAGAGGAAAAGAGGCGCAAGCUUCUGCUGAUGGAUGGACCCGCGGUGCAUUAGCUAGUUGGUAAGGUAACGGCUCACCAAGGCCGUGAUGCAUAGCCGACCUGAGAGGGUGAUCGGCCACAUUGGGACUGAGACACGGCCCAAACUCCUACGGGAGGCAGCAGUAGGGAAUCUUCCGCAAUGGACGCAAGUCUGACGGAGCAACGCCGCGUGAGUGAAGAAGGUUUUCGGAUCGUAAAACUCUGUUGUUAGAGAAGAACAAGUGCUAGAGUAACUGUUAGCGCCUUGACGGUAUCUAACCAGAAAGCCACGGCUAACUACGUG